rnacentral:tRNA from 1 species
GGGCGAGUAGCUCAACGGGAGAGCACCCCGCUUACACCGGGGAGGUCGUGGGUUCGACUCCUACCUCGCCCACCA